CCAUGGUUCUACUCUCCUGUGGGGAUAAGGCAUAUACUGCCCCUUAGGGUAGCAGAUUUAUGGAGCGAUCAUUCGAUCUGUGAGGAGGUGGAAUAUUAGUCUGACUCUUACUGAACGCCUUUUUAACCCCCCAGUACUGUAUGGGAAUUUCGGAGGUCUGAGGUAUAGCAAUAGGCAAAGUAACGAUGCCCACUCUCUUUGUAAGGGGUUACACACAUCUCUCAAUACAGUCUUUAUCCC